GAAAAGUUAGUUUAUUAAAAACAUUUAUUUGUCAAAUAAAAAAUAUUAUUAAUACUUUUUA
rnacentral:tRNA from 1 species